GAUGAACGCUGGCGGCGUGCCUAAUACAUGCAAGUCGAACGAAACUUCUUUAUCACCGAGUGCUUGCACUCACCGAUAAAGAGUUGAGUGGCGAACGGGUGAGUAACACGUGGGCAACCUGCCCAAAAGAGGGGGAUAACACUUGGAAACAGGUGCUAAUACCGCAUAACCAUAGUUACCGCAUGGUAACUAUGUAAAAGGUGGCUAUACUACCGCUUUUGGAUGGGCCCGCGGCGCAUUAGCUAGUUGGUAGGGUAAAGGCUUACCAAGGCAAUGAUGCGUAGCCGAAUUGAGAGGUUGAUCGGCCACAUUGGGACUGAGACACGGCCCAAACUCCUACGGGAGGCAGCAGUAGGGAAUCUUCCACAAAGGGCGAAAGCCUGAUGGAGCAACGCCGCGUGGGUGAAGAAGGUCUUCGGAUCGUAAAACCCUGUUGUUAGAGAAGAAAGUGCGCGAGAGUAACUGUUCACGUUUCGACGGUAUCUAACCAGAAAGCCACGGCUAACUACGUG
rnacentral:rRNA from 1 species